ACUCCUACGGGAGGCAGCAGUAGGGAAUCUUCCACAAUGGGCGCAAGCCUGAUGGAGUAACACCGCGUGAGUGAAGAAGGGUUUCGGCUCGUAAAGCUCUGUUGUUAAAGAAGAACACGUAUGAGAGUAACUGUUCAUACGUUGACGGUAUUUAACCAGAAAGUCACGGCUAACUACGUGCCAGCAGCCGCGGUAAUACGUAGGUGGCAAGCGUUAUCCGGAUUUAUUGGGCGUAAAGAGAGUGCAGGCGGUUUCUAAGUCUGAUGUGAAAGCCUUCGGCUUAACCGGAGAAGUGCAUCGGAAACUGGAUAACUUGAGUGCAGAAGAGGGUAGUGGAACUCCAUGUGUAGCGGUGGAAUGCGUAGAUAUAUGGAAGAACACCAGUGGCGAAGGCGGCUACCUGGUCUGCAACUGACGCUGAGACUCGAAAGCAUGGGUAGCGAACAGGAUUAGAUACCCCUGGUAGGAAAGCG
rnacentral:rRNA from 1 species